rnacentral:rRNA from 1 species
CGGGUGAGUAAUGCUUGGGAAUCUGGCUUAUGGAGGGGGAUAACUACGGGAAACUGUAGCUAAUACCGCGUAGAAUCGGAAGAUGAAAGUGCGGGACCGCAAGGCCGCAUGCCAUGAGAUGAGCCCAAGUGGGAUUAGGUAGUUGGUGGGGUAAAGGCCUACCAAGCCUGCGAUCUCUAGCUGGUUUGAGAGGAUGGCCAGCCACACUGGAACUGAGACACGGUCCAG